AUGUAUAAGAACAAUUUUGAAAUUAAAACUUAAAAAUCGUAUUAAAACAUAGAAAUAGUUGCCGUCAAUACACGAAAAUGCCAAUGGCGACAGUGCCACUCAUUUUGCGCAAUAUGCUUACAAAUUUUGAGACAGCCUUUGGCCAUAUGGACUACGACAAUGUGUCACCAGUCACGAAAGUAAACGAAAUGUUCCGAAUUUCACCGGAUGAGGCGGAAGUCUGCAUCGAAGGAAAUGAUAUAACAAGUGUAUUAUAAAAAUGCGCCCGGCCUUCUGUUUAUCACUAUUUCCCAUUAAGUAGUCAUCAGUCAACAAGAAACAUGAAAGUCACAGCUCUUGCACUUUUCGCCCUCAUCGGAAUCAUCGGUGUGGCUCUUGGUGCCGGGUACGGGUACGGCGGUUAUUCAAGCGGAUACACCUAUAUGCCGGCAUACGGACAAGGACAGAGUGCUGGUGGAAUUGGAGACGGAUCUUUCUUGUACCUGAUUAUGUUCUUGUUCCUGUUCCUGAUCCUGUUCCAGGGCAACCUCUUCAACACCACCUCUAGCACCACACCAAUCAACUUCAUUCAGGGUUAAUUAUGAUUUAGUUGCCAUUCGAAUAGUGAAUGCAGGACAAGUAGAACUAGCAAUCUUCCAGCCAUGGUUGUAUUCGUAUUUCAUGUUGACUGUCCGAAGUUUACCCGUCAUCUGUGAUUACUCGAUUAUUUAUCAGCAUUACCAAUGUUCUAUUGACCUGUUUCGUUCGUUAAUAAUAAUAAAAAUUGUAUAUUUGAAAUACUUGUAUGUUUUAUAUGAAACUCGUUCAGAACUGUCAAUUUCUGUCCGUAAAGAGAAUUUCGAUUAAAUCCGUCACAUGUGUUGGAUCUUAUGCACUAGAAAAGAGUUAGAUCUACAUUCCAAACAUAGUCCCCUCUGCAAGUCUAUAGCUAGGACUUUAAAUACGUAUGAUCCCAUUCUAUUUUGGUGUCCUCCAUAGGUCGAGCAAAACAUAGGCAACUGGAACAUUUUGUUAGAUAAUCUACAAAGCAAAAGAUUCAAUCAA